GUCCAGUGUAGCCUAGAAGACAUGGGUUCUGCCCGGUAAGCGGAACACUGUGGGUUCGAUUCCCAUCCCUGGACA